CUUGUUUUUUUAUUAUUUUCCCUGAGGUUAUUAAAUCCUCAAAAAUUGUUAGAAUCAUUUUUAACUGUCCCUAAGGAGAAUCCCCUUGAUGUCAAUUAGGAGGAUAACAACGUUGAGCUCUACCACAACGUGAGGAGAACCAAGAGGAAAAUCCCAAUGAGGAGUAUAACAACGCUGAACUCUACAACUACGUGCAGAACCAAGAGGAGAAUCCCCUUGAUGUCAAUGAGGAAGAUAACAACGCUGAGUUCUACAACAACGUGCAAAACCAAGAGCAGGUCAAUGUUGUGUAAGUUUAGAAGAGAAAAGAUAUAGCUUAUGUAACGUGUAACGAUUAAGAGUAAAUUGGUGUAUGAAGUGUAGAGUUUAGAUCGGAAGAGAAUAGUGUAGUGUAGAAGAAGAAUUCUUACUUCCUACUUGAUUUGGAUCCUUGGUAAAAACUAAAUAUAGACAAUUACAAACAAAAUAUUCUAUACAAGAUGCUAUGCACAAUUACACAUAGUGAAAGUGACAUCUCCUCUUAAGUUAAACUUGUGAUCUUUUGUUUGACUUAAGCUCCCACUUGUCCCUAACUCGCCAACGGCUCUUUGGAGAAGGCUCUAGAUGUUCCACGACCGUUGGAGGCUUCUCUUCAUGGACUGGACUCGUAGACAUUCUAAAUGGUACGGACGGCCCCUCUUGAUCAUUUUACGGACGUACGGACAUGGGGUGUGAGUUCUCAUACGUGAGGUGAAGAGGAGGAGAAUCCCCUUGCUAUCAAUGAGGAUAACAACGCUGAUAAAAUGUGCAGAACCAUAUGCAGAACAAUGUUUUUCCAUACCUCUGCUCUGUUUUUUUUCUUUCUCCAAAUGCUGCUUGUUUCAAAGUUCUUUUGUUGCCUUAUAUUUCUGUUUGCUUCUGGGUGAAUCCAAGAAACACAUGGUUGUAUUAUCGUAUAUGAUGAAAUGAGUUGUCUGGUAGAAUGCAUUAUAGUGACUAAAAGUGGAUUUACUACAUAAAUGGUGGUUUUUUUGUUUUUUACAGGCAACUAGAACUCUAGAAGAGUUUACUGGUGUUAUUACGCAGAUCAAAGGUCGCAUCAAACUGGCUCAAUCUUCCUGAAAAGCCUCCUUCAUCCCAGCAACGUGCGUUUUAGUACUACCAACUACCAAGCUUACCCUUUUCUCUCCAAUGGGGACAGACACAUUAAUUUAAGCAAUUAAGAUGAGAUGAUUGUUGUCGUAUAGUGGACCAAUUG